rnacentral:sRNA from 1 species
CUUCAGAAACUGUGAAAACAGGUCGAAGUUCCCAGCGGAAACGAAUACAGGACCCGUAGAGGAGCUUCGGCCUGCCCAAA